GCAUCUGCUUGUGUGUCUAGGUGUGUAUGGGUGUGUGCAUCCAUCUCUGUGUGGGUAUAUCUGGAUGUCUGGAUAUUGUCCCAAAGGACUCAUGGGGCAAGUGUCUCUGGGCCCAGGCUUGGCUGCAUCUGUUCUGAUGCUGUCAGAUCUCUGAGGCUGGUCUGUUUGACAUUCCAGGGGACAGGGUUGAGGACAGCUACAUCUGCUGAGUCAUAAGGAUGUGGGCUGUAUGUGUUCACAGUUGGACGUAUCUCCUUUCACACACGGGGAGGGGAGAUUUCAGUUGGGCCAGCUGACUGUGUGUUCUUUCAGAAGUAAAAUUUUCCCCAGGGAUGGCAGGGGCAGGAAGCCUCAGUCCCAGUCUCCUUGACUGGAAUGGGUUGUAUAGGAUGUUUCCCAGGCGCAGAUGGGAAAGGGCAAGAGGACAUUCAUCCACGGGUUUCCAAGAUGCCCUUCAACGGACGAAUGGAUAA